UUUUUAUCCAUAGGUACAUGUAAAAAUUAUUUCCGCUGUAUUCGAUCAACGUUGCUCAUAAUGUAAUACAAUAUCGUUAAAUUAUUGUACUUAUAAAAGUACACGUAAAUCACGUACGAGCUAUAUAAUUUAAUAUUUUAUAGUUAUACGAUCAUAUACAUACAUGUAUUUGCCAUUUAGGUUCGUCAACACUGAAUUCGUUAAUAUUCACUCGAUUAAUAGGUAUAGCGUAUACAAUCGAAGAGAAAUAAAUUAUAGAAUAAUAAAACGUCAUCGCCGUCGUUUUCGUUUAUACGAUUACAAAGCUCCGGUGAUACUUUCUCGUAUCCGAAUUUGCUAAUAUGCUGAGUGUGAGGAAUGGCCUAGCCGAGAUGAUUGCUGAUUAAAGGUUUUUUUGGCACGCGUCCGAAUCUAUAAAAUAGUGACCGAUGCAGGAGUGGAGAUAGAGAGAGAGUGUGCAAUGUUGGACGACAUCGAAGAGACUUCGCGAUGAUCCCCGGUGAACCAUACGGCAUACACACUCGCGGCACAUCCACCAUAUACCAGAGUCGUUUACACACAGAGUUCGAGUCCCCGAGAUCUCGUUAAUAUAAACGUAACUUGCCUGAGUGAAGCGUUACAGUUGGCGGAAGCGCCGAGCACCAACUGUAACUUCCGGUUUUAAUCAUAACCCAAUAACAAAACAAUUGUAUGAUUGAAUGUAUUUCAAAUAAGUAAAAAUUAAAGAAAAAUCCAAAUGAUAAAAUAUCGUAUAUUAAUUAUUUAAA